UGCAAUAUUUAUAGUAUAAUAUACAUAUAGUAUAAUGUGAACCGUUGCAGGCGAAAUUUGGUCGUCGCUGGUGUGCAAGUCUACAAUCGCAGGAGUCGGACUCUUUUCAAUUCUGGUGUCGGAUUCUUCUCAAUUCCGGUGUCGGACUGUUUUCAAUUCCCGUUCCUUUGCACUACAUUCGUACGGUCUGUAGGCUGAAGGAUCCUCAGCAGAGUCGAUCACUGCCCUUGCUAAAAUAAAUAUAGUCAAGAGGAGGAUGGAAGCUGCAUAUGAGACAUUGCAGGAUGCUGCUGGAUUAACACAACUAAGCUCAACUGUGGAGGAUGUAUUUGCCAGUGGCGAUCUCCCAUGAGCUGCAAAUACGUUGGCUAACAUGAGACAUUGUCUUGCUGCUGUUGGGGAUGUAUUCUUUUCCUAACCCAUGCAAUUGUUUCGUUUGUUGCUGAGAAUCUGCGAAAGAGCAUCGCUCAUGAAUUUGGGAUGAUUAGGUUGCUGAAUUUACUUGCACAGAUGAAAGGGUAAUUUAGUCAGAUUGGAUUUUGUUUCCUUCACACCCUGCUUGAACCAAACACUAGAUAUAAGCCCAAUCAGUCUACAUGGGCUGAACCAAACAAUGUAUGAGUCUAUCAGCCAAAUUAGGAAAGCCCAUUAUCAAUGGGAUCAUGUUAACAUUAGUGGUGGCUACCAGACGCGCCCUUACACGAUAACGACGCAAGCAUAAGCAUGAUAACAUUCAACCAUUAAUUGAUUUGAAUGAUGAUCUAA